rnacentral:lncRNA from 1 species
UGCAGUUGUGUUCCUCCAGGCACUUCUGGCAACUAUGAGUCUUGUCCUUGCUAUUUUAACCUCAAAACCCCAAGGCAAACCCGCAAGUGCCCUUAAUUUCUUUCUAUUAUUCAAUUAAUUUCAGAAAAUCCCAUCAGAAAAAAUAAAGUGCACAAACUUCUUAUCUCUUUAACUGAGAGAUAGGUUUUGUUUUGGCAUGCAUGUAGAAUGUAAAAGCUUUCUGCUUUUGCACGAGGAGUUUCUAUUAAGAUUGUAUUGUGUUGAUGCACAAAACCGGAGGUCUUAGAACAACGUAAAUCCGACCGUGAAUCUAUAAGAAAGUAAAGAACACAAGAUGUAUCAUGGUUCACCCCAAUGUUUGGGCUACGUCCACACUGAUGUUGAUUGUAUUUCUCUCUAACUGUAUGAAUGUAUGGAUUACAAGGGUGAGCGGGAGUCCCCCAGAGAAAGAGAGAGUUUGAGAGAGCCUUUGUUUAGGGGAUGUGAGGCUUGAGGAUUGUGAGGGUGAGGAGUCCCUUUUAUAGACUAAGGGCUCCUCACUUAUUACAUAUUUGCCCCUUUAUUUAUUACAUAAUUACAUUUGAGUCCCCCGAGUAUUUAUACGAGGUCUAAAUACGAAGGCUCUAAAUAUGGUACAAACAUAUUGUAAUUAAUAAAAAAAAAACUAUUUUUUAAGUCCUUUUGUUGGAUUUGAUGAGUAUUUUAAGUUGUUAGAUGAUGCAGCUUUUCUUUCUAUUUUAAGUAAGUUAUAUCAUUAAAAUCAAACAAAAGGUGAUCACAAUUUUCUAAACAAACGGUGAUCACAAUUUUCUUGAACCAUAUGUUCUAGCUAAGAGAACGAGACUGAGACUGAUGAUCUUAAAUGUUUUUGUUUUCUAAUAAAAAUUGUUAAUCCUUCUUACUCUUUUAGAAUAAUUGAUAUUAGAAAGGGGAACCAAUCAAACAUAGAAAAUUGGGUGUAAAGUAAAUGAAGAUAAUGGUAUUACCUCAUUGUAGGAUCGGAAUAUUAAUAGGGUGGUUAUGCUAAUUAUUAAACUUGUUAAGAGAUGAAAUAUAACUAAGGUGUAUCUCUUUUAUCAAAAGUUGAAUCAACCAUUAGAUAAAGAACUAGGCCAAAAAUUAGGAUACAUUAUGGGAAAAUAAAACCUUCAUCGAAGAGAAGCAACUGAAAAGCUUUCAUAAAAAUUCUCAUAGAAUCAAGAAUGAAGUUUUCCGAUGCUAAUAAUAAAGUAUUAUAUAAAUACAAGCUUACACAUAUUGUCACGCCCCAAUCCCGAGAUACAUCCAAAAUGGACACAUGACGUCAUCACGUACCUGUUCAACUAUCAUGCCUUGCUUACGAGUCAUGACCAAAAACAACCCAAUGGUUCAAUAAGGUAGUAACGUUUUUCUAUAUUUUUUUGCUACACCUAACCUAUGUGUUAGACUGUCUACAUACCAUAAGAUGGAUCAAACCAUUCGUAGUUCACCUAACAAACUCUUACAUUUCUCAUAGGACUUUCAAGUAGAAAUAUAUAGAGUUAAAGAAUACUCAAUGAAACUUGGGUAGCAUGAAUCACUAGAUUCCAAACUACAUAAUGAAACUAUAUGCCAACCCAGAUUGUCAUUUUGUCAUUCAAUUCUAUCACAUGUUUUCCAACACAAUUACACAAUCACAACAAAGAAUCAAUUCCAUGAAUCCAAACAAUAUUAAAAUUUAAUUAUAUUGAUCAAUCAACAUGAUCAAAUAUCAUUUCAUUAAUUUUUAAUAAAGCCAACCUCUAUAAGGUUUAUCGUAUUUUGCUACUGAAAUCCAACUAUCUAGUAUUGUAACCCUAAGUUAUAACCACAAGCGUAAACUUGGGUAACUCUAUGCACAAGAAUCUUGGAUUCCGAACUAACUCAACGGAACCUAAAAUAAAAUGGAAUUCAGGACCAACUCAACGAAAUCCAAUUGAAGGUAGGGUUCAUCAAUCUGCGGAAAGUGCUACCAAUGUGUACCUGCUUCUAUUUCUUUUGUUUUGGAGAUGUGAGUAUUGCAAUAUUUACCAACUGAAAGUUGAUUAAAAUUACAAAAGUUCAUAAGGGAAUUUUUUUUUCAUCGUGUUACAAAUGAUAAAAUUUACAUGCAACGAGAAUGCUAGGGUUGUGGAAUUCCAACCUUAUCCCUGUCUCCAUCAGGCAUACCAGAGCACCGCAAGAGGCCUACUAAGUAUGGUUGGCUGGCCCAUAAGUAUACAAACAUUGCAAAGUCCAAUGUUAUAGCACGCUUCUAGGAAGAUAUGAAUUUAAGUUCUGUUCUCCUAAUUAUAUGAUCCGAAAAAAUUUAGUCACCUGCCAUUUGAUUUUAAUCGAACAAUAAGUGGUCUUUUGAAUUUUGUUUUUUUUUUUUCCUUUUUUUUUAAUUUAUUAUUAUUAAGGGAAUGAUGAGACUUUGGAACUAUUAAAAUAAUUUAAGGGUGGGGGAGUUUCAACUAAGGAUGCAAGCGUAAAAACUCAACAUCCUAUGUACUAGGAUAUUGAACUCGUGAUGUUGUUAUACUCUCUCCUUCAUUAUUAGGUUAAGAUAGAACGAUAAAUAACCAUAAUUUUCUUGAACUAUGUGUUCUAGGAGAACGAGAUUGAUGAAUUUUAGAUGGUUUUGUUUUCUAAUAAAACUUAUUACUGCAACGUUCUUUUUUUCCUUAUUCUUUUAGAAAAAUGAUAUUGAGAAGGGGAACCAAUCAAACAGAAAAAAAAAUUAGGUGUAAAGUAAAUGAAAAGAGACCAACUUAUGAUAAUGGUAUAUCUCAUUGUAGGGUGUGAUGCUAACGAUAAAAUAUUAUAUAAAUAAAAAUGUGUACAUAUUAUUAUAUAAUUAAUAUAAAAAUAGCAUGAUAACAAUAUAUACUCGUAUUAUGAAAGAUAUUCUCUAGAGCACCAAACUGGAAGGCAUGACUGCCUUAAGAGCUAGUAAUACAGCGUAGGUUUUUUCUUUCAUUUUCGUUUGGCACCGACGGGGGUGGGUUUGGGAAACAAAGUUUGAUUGUAGAACAGCUAGCAAGCUAGGGCCACCUGGUCAACACUCGUCUGUCAGACAUUUUUUUCUUAAAUUCUUAAUAUUUGCAAUCAUUGAUGCCAUUUUGAACCAAUGUAGUACACAUUGGUAGCUGAGGACAAUUGUUGACGACAUUACAUCUUUUGUCAGUUCCUUUUCUUUCAUUUCUUUGUGGCAUGUGUUUUGCCAAUGUUAUUACUAGUGUUAGACACUCGAUACAUGAUACUUAUAUUUGGAAUGAGACCUUAUCCAGGAUUGUUAGAAAUGUUUUUAUGUUUGAUUGUACUGAGAAUUGUUGUAUUAGAGGCUUCUCUUUUUAAUUAAUUUUUUAUUUUCCAUAAAAGAAAAAAAUAUAUUUAUCUCUCUCAACAAUAAGUUAGAGUGUAAAAUUAGCGAAGGUGGAUUGUCUGCCCUCCCAUUUCUAAACUCUUCUCAUCUCUUCCUGUUUGUGUGGUCACGGUUAAGCCACGUCAACAUUUUAUAUUGAUUUUUUUAUAAAAUAAUAAAACAAAAAGUAAUAGGAAUAUAAAAUGUUAACGUGGCUUAAUUGUGACCACACAAAACACGAGGGGAUGUGAAGAGUAUUGAAAUGGGAGGGCAGACAAUCCACCUCCAAAAUUAACUAGGUAAGUCCACUUAAUGAUACUUCCUAAUCUUCCCUAUUAAUUAAGCAAUCUUAAUAAACUAGUUUCUUGUUAAGCCUUUGUGCAGAUCAGUUUAAGUCGUAAGAGAAGGUGAAGUAAUAACUCAUAAGUUAAGAUUAAAAUAUACCACAUGGUCGAUAUAUCAUGUUAUUAUCGAGGGAGUCCAUGCAAAUCUAAACUUCAAAUUUAAUGUUGUUUGAAUGGCAGUAGCCAAAUGCACCCGCUUAAAACUUACAUAAGACUCAAAUUUUCGUUUUUAAGAAACAUCGACAACGAAAUAACAAUAAAAAUUCACAAUGAAAGUCUUACCUCAAAAUAAAUAGGAGUUUGUUUAAAAGUGUUUUUAAAUUACUGAAAGUGCUUUUGGUGAAAUAUUUUAGAUUUCAAAAACACUUUUAAAUGGUUUUUUUAAGAAGCACCAGAUAUGUGCUUUUUGGAGGAAGCAUUUGUGCUUCUCCAUGAUCCAAUUGGAUUUUUAAUAAGAAAUUAUUGUAAAAGUAUUUUCAUCAAAAAUAUUUUCAGUCACUUUAAAAUACUUUCAAACCAAUCAUAAAUUCUCGAGAGGGCGUCUUGCACCGACGUUGGCACCUCCAUCCAUUCUAAUCUAUUUAGCCAUAAAUUCUUGGUCCAAAUGUUAAGCAAAAAUAUUUAAUGUUAAACAGAAACCAAGCAAAACAAAAGAAGAAAACAUUGGUAAAGGGUGAUGAGUUGUGAGCAGUCUGGCAGUGUGACUUUCGCGGAGACCAUCUGAAAAUGACGACUAUUAUAAUUAAAUAGUAGGUCCAAUAUUAUUGGACAGGUAAGCAGCACUUGCAUUGCCGGAUGAUCAUUUCCUGAUUCUCUUUACGAGGAGUUUGGAAAUCUUUAAAUUGUGUUCGUUCAUUGUAUAUUGUGCGGUUAGUUUUCGUCAGAUAUUAUUUAUAUUUAAUCUAAAAUAAAAGUAUUUAAAAUGAUUUUUGACCGUACGAUGUACGAUGAACAGAUACGAUUUGAGAAUCCCUAAGAUCCUCACAAAGAGGAUCCGGAAAGGAUCUCAUUCCUUGCAUUGCAUCAGCCCUACUGCCCUCCAUGCACCAUCGAUACCACCAGUCUCUCUCUAUAAAUACACGCACUAAUAUCUCACUCUCAUUUCACGACAUACAAGCCAAACUAAGAUACUUCUUCCUCUUCUUCCAUAUAUAAUCAAGAUGGCUUUGUCAUCAAGAACGCUCAUGGCUUCCAUGCUUGUCUCUUUUAUGCUUCUUCAAUGUUUCACUGAAGCCACUGAUCACCAGUACGAGACGGUAAUAGACCUACACAUAUGUUUCAUACGUUUCUUUCAACUUUCAAGUAGUGUAUUCAAUUUUUCUUCAAUGAUUUAAGUAAAAUAUGAACUGAAAAGUUUGUAGUAACUAUUUUCAGAUGGGCGUCAAUGGAGCACCGAGCCCCAAGCCCCCAACUUUAGGUAUGUCACGCGUUGACAUCUUCAAUUCUCUAGCUAAUUCACCAUAUUCUGUAAAUCUAUAAUCAUGAUCAUUUGGUCAAGUGACAUCAAGUCUGUAAGAAAACCUGAGUUCAUAUUGUAUAUACUGAUGAAAUUUGUUAGUUACGAUGUCAUAUAUCCAGUUAAUUAAAUUGUGCAUAAUACACGUUUAUAAUGCAGAUUGUGGAGUGGCAUGUGAAGGAAGGUGCAAGCUAUCAUCGAGGCCUCGUCUUUGCAAAAGGGCAUGUGGGAGUUGUUGUGACAAGUGCAGUUGCGUUCCUCCUGGCACUUCUGGCAACUACGAGUCUUGUCCUUGCUAUUUUAACCUCAAAACCCACAACCAAACCCGCAAAUGCCCUUAAUUAAUUUCUUUCUAUUAUUCAAUUAAUUUCAACAAAUCCCACCAGAAUAAAUAAAGUGCACAAACUUCUUCUUAUCUCUUUUACUGAGAGAUAGGUAGUGUUUUGGCAUGCACG